AUUUUCUCUUUGUGGAGGCUGGGUUCGCGUGCUCUUCUGAGCUGUGGUCGUCAUGGACCGGAAGCGUGUGCGGCGCGCCUGCCUUGAGGCCAGCAUCAGGGAAGGGUGUCCCAGGUGCAGGCGAAGCUUCCUUCAGGUGCUCCUGGAGGACUUUUGGCUCGCAAGCGCUUCUCCAUUCUCCCAACGUCUCGGGCCUGAUGUUAUCAUCUCCCUAUCCUUGGCUGCACCUGAAAAGAGCAGGAGCCGGCAGGUAACCCGAUCGCCUCCCCCAGGAGGUGAAGUGAAAUCUGCAAGAGUCCUGCUCGUUCAAGGCCUGCAUACAGGAAAGAAGCAGGGGAAAAGCGUUAGAAACAGCUUUUGUUCUACAGCAUUUUAAAAUAUAAUAGGUAUAUUGAAAAGUCUGAUUCAGUUACAAUCAGUGUAUGGAAUCACAAGAAGAUCCAUAAGAAACAAGGUGCUGGAUUUCUCCGUUGUGUUCGUCUUUUUCCAGUGCCAUCAACCACCUCAAAGACACUGGUUAUCAGAGGUUGGAUUUAUGCAAACUUGGGCCAAAGGACAGUUAGAAGACAGUAGUAAGUCUUCAGUCCAGGGACCAAAUCGGCACAGGAGGACAAGUUGUGGACUGCAGUCAUUUAUUUGAUAAUGAUUUACCAGACAACUGAAGAAGCAUCUGUAGGGAAUCCAGAAGGAGCAUUCAUGAAGAUGUUACAAGCCCGGAAGCAGCACAUGAGCACUGAGCUGACUAUUGAGUCGGAGGCGCCCUCAGACAGCAGUGGCAUCAACUUGUCAGGCUUUGGGAGUGAGCAGCUAGACACCAAUGACGAGAGUGAUGUGAUCAGCUUGAAAUUCAGCUAACCGAGCAGCUACGGUCCCUCAUCCCCAACGAGGAUGUGAGAAAGUUCAUGUCUCAUGUUAUCUGGACCUUGAAAAUGGAAUGUUCAGAAACACAUGUGCAAGGGAGCUGUGCCAAGCUCAUGUCGCGAACAGGCCUCCUGAUGAAGCUUCUCAGCGAGCAGCAGGAAGCAAAGGCAUUGAAUGUAGAAUGGGAUACGGACCAACAAAAAACAAAUUAUAUUAAUGAGAACAUGGAACAGAAUGAACAGAAAGAGCAGAAGUCAAGUGAGCUCAUGAAAGAAGUUCCAGGAUAUGACUAUAAGAACAAACUCAUCUUCGCAAUAUCUGUGACUGUCAUACUAAUAAUUUUGAUUAUAAUUUUUUGUUUUAUAGAGGUAAAGACAAUAAUUAAUUCAGGUUUUCAAAAUACAAUCCUGUGUUUGUGUGGAUUCAGAAUCCACAAACUGAAAACCAACGUCACUUUCCCACUUGACAUUCUUCUUCUGUCAUUUAAGGCUGAGGUGUGCUUUGUUCUUUUACUGCAAUGUAUAUUCCAGGAUUGUUAAAGGAUCCUCGCUUCCAGGAGGUCUCUGUGAAAUAAAACCAAGUUAAUCCCACUAGACUAUUUUAAGAAGUUAAGUUGAUAUAAUAGCAAAAUUUCUCCCACCCAAAACUAUGUCAACAAUUGGAUGUACUCACUGAGUCACCCCUUACUCUGCCACUAAUUUAUUUCCUUGUUGCUUAAAUGAUGAGAGACAUAUAAUCUCCACCCUCACGGAGUUGUCAUCACCCUGGAGAGGAAGAAGACAGCCAAAAGAGAGAAGUAUUGUCUUGUAGACUUACUAGAUUCACAUAGUAUCAUCCUUCUCCAGUGUGUAAGGUGUUGUCUAAAUAGGUCCAGUUAAAGAACUACAGGGUAGCCAUUUUUAAAAAAAAAUUUUGGCCACGUUUUCAAAUUCACAGGGGAGGGGGAAUGUCUCAUACUCCAGCCCUCCUGAGCCUAGGCCCUCUGUGAGAUGUGUCACCAUUUCUUGGACACCAUAUGAGACAUUCCCCCUCGGAUUAGAGAUGCUCAACCUGCAUCAACAAAUCUAAAGCCUGCAUCUGGCUACCCUGGGGCGAGUCCUGUUUACAGUGCCUAUUCCUGGAGCUCGCCUCUUUUUGCCUUUUGUUUGAUUAUGUGAUGUAUUACUUUUCCCAGCAGGCCAGUGCUAGCAUACUGGAAGAGGGAUUUAAUAAGCUGGCACCCUUGAUGCUAUGCUCCUAAUCCAACCUUAUUUGCCUCAUUGGCCAUUUCCAUUAUGGUGGCAGCCCUCCAUUCCAGCCACAGCAGCCCCUCAGCGUCCCCCAGUCACACUGUCCCCAUUGCUGCUCAUCUGUGCCUUUGUCCAUCUACAAUGCCCUUAUUUCACUCUGCCUGUGGGAGUCCUGUGAAUCUCUCCAAAGCCAACUCAGUUCAUCUUUCUGCUUGAAACCUUCCCUGAAUAGGCCAGGUGCGGUGGCUCACGCCUGUAAUCCCAGCACUUUGGGAGGCCAAGGCAGGCGGAUCACAAGGUCAGGAGAUCGAGACCAUCCUGGCUAACACAGACCAUUCUCUACUAAAAAUGCAAAAAAUUAGCUGGGUGUGGUGGCGGGCGUGUGUCGUCCCAGCUACUUGUGAGGCUGAAGCAGGAAAAUGGCAUGAACCUGGGAGGUGGAGCAUGCAGCCAGCCAAGAUCGGGCCGCUGCACUCCAGCCUGGGGGACAGAGCGAGACUCUGCCUCAAAAAAAAAAAAAAAAAGAAACUUCCCUGAAUAUUCCAGCCCUCCUGAGCCUAGUCCCUUUGUGAGAUUUGUCCCCAUUUCUUGGACACCAUAUAAGAGACUUCAGAGGCUGAAGUGGGAGGAUUGCUUGAGCCUGGGAGGUCGAGGAUGCAGUGAGCUGUGGUCAUACCACUGCACUCUAGCCUGGGCAACAGAGCGAGACCUUGUCUCAAAAACAGCCACCACCAAAAACUAUCUUGGGAUUUGAAUAGGAUUACCUUAAAUUUGUAGAUUAAUUUGAGAAUUGACAUCUGUACGACAUUCUAGAACAUGGUAUUUCAUGUCAUGUAUUCAUUUCUUGUUAAUGUCUUUCAGAAGAGUUUUAGGGUUUCCAUCAUAUAGAUCUUACACGUCUUUUGUUAGAUAACAGAUCUUUGUAUUUUUGUUCCUAAAUACUUCAGACAUUUGUAUUGCCAUUGUAAAUGGGAUCUUUCUUCCAUUUUCUAGUUAGUUAUUGGUGGUACAUCUGAAAAGCAUUUGAGGUUUGUGUGCUGCUCUCUUGAUUUUGUUUCUAGCCACCGUACUGAAUUCUCAUAUUACUUCCAGUAAAAUCUUAGUUGAUUCUCUUAGGCUUCUUUGGCUAACAUUUAUUAUUUUAUAUGCAAAUAAUUAUAGUUUUGUCUCUUCCUUUUCAAUACUUACACUCUUUCCUUCCUUUCCUUUCUUUUUUUUUUCUUUCUCAGGGCCUUGUUGUCACCCAGACUGGAGAGCAAUGGUGUGAUCUAGCUCACUGUAACCUCAAACUCCUGGGCUUAAGGGAUCCUCCUGCCUCAGCUUCCUGAGUGGCUGGGACUACAGGCAGGCAGUGAAUUUUAAAACUUUUGGUGUAGAGACAAGAUCUUGCUAUGUUGCCCAGGCUGGUUUUCCUGCCACUUUAGAGCAGGUUUCCUUUUUUUCAUACUUUUAAGAGGUUUUUAUUAGGAAUUGUCCAUUGAAUGUUAGCUAAAACAGUCAAUAAAAUGCGUUAAGUACCAGCUACAUGCAAGACCCUAAGUUAGAUACAGUCAGCCCUCUUCAUCAGCAGGUCCACAUCUUCAGAUUCAACUAGAUAAGGCUGAAUAUUUGAAGAAAAAAACAAUAAAAAUACAAUUAGAAAGUACAGUAUAACAACUGUUGCCAUGAUACAAUAUCUAUACAUUUUAUUAGUGAUGACCUAAAGUUCAUGGGACCAGGCACGGUGACUCACACUUGUAAUCCCAACACUUUGGGAGGCCAACCUGGGCAGCAUAGUGAGACCUUGUCUUUAAUAAAAAUAAAAAUAAAAAAAUUAGCUAGUGUGGUGGUAUGCACCUGUAGUCCCAGCUACUCAAGAGGCUGAGGUGGGCAGAUCACUGGAGCCCAGGAGGUUGCGGCUGCUGUGAGCUGUGAUUGUGACACUGCUCUCCAGCCUGAGUGACAGAGGGUGAUCCUGUCUCUAAGUAAGUAAAUAAAUAAAGUAUAUGGGGGGGAUGUGUGUUGGUUAUAUGCAAACACUGCACCAUUAUACGUAAGGGAUUGAGCAUCCACAGAUUCUGGUAUGGUGUGGAGGCGAUAUCCUAGAACCAGUCGUCUGCAAGGUAGCAAGGAUGACUGAACUGUGGAAGAAUCAAAGCACUGUUAAACAGCAUACAAUUCCUGUCUUCAAAAAAGUUAUCUCAUCGGGUAGAUGAGACUUAAAAUGAAUAAAAGGAAUGAAUACACAUUGGAGAUAGUGGUUGUUGUGAUAGAUAACCUUAAUUGUGUUUUCUUCCAAAACGGGUGAAUUCACAUAAAAGGGCAUCAGAAAAAUACAAAGACAACCCAUCAAUAUCAGGAGCCUGAGCAUGAGUUAAAGCAUGUGGAUGGCCUAGAGCCAUGUUUUUAAAAUUGUUAUUAAAUAUUGGUUUUUUACUUAAAUCAAUGAAAACUUUCUUUACUUUGUGGUUGUGUUCCUCAAAAUGAGAAUUUUUAACAAUAAUAAAAAUAAAGCUUAUUAGAUCAUU
rnacentral:lncRNA from 1 species